rnacentral:rRNA from 1 species
UUAAGCAACUAAGCGUACACGGUGGAUGCCCUGGCAGUCAGAGGCGAUGAAGGACGUGCUAAUCUGCGAUAAGCGUCGGUAAGGUGAUAUGAACCGUUAUAACCGGCGAUUUCCGAAUGGGGAAACCCAGUGUGUUUCGACACACUAUCAUUAACUGAAUCCAUAGGUUAAUGAGGCGAACCGGGGGAACUGAAACAUCUAAGUACCCCGAGGAAAAGAAAUCAACCGAGAUUCCCCCAGUAGCGGCGAGCGAACGGGGAGGAGCCCAGAGCCUGAAUCAGUGUGUGUGUUAGUGGAAGCGUCUGGAAAGGCGCGCGAUACAGGGUGACAGCCCCGUACACAAAAAUGCACAUGCUGUGAGCUCGAUGAGUAGGGCGGGACACGUGGUAUCCUGUCUGAAUAUGGGGGGACCAUCCUCCAAGGCUAAAUACUCCUGACUGACCGAUAGUGAACCAGUACCGUGAGGGAAAGGCGAAAAGAACCCCGGCGAGGGGAGUGAAAAAGAACCUGAAACCGUGUACGUACAAGCAGUGGGAGCACAGAGCAAUCUGUGUGACUGCGUACCUUUUGUAUAAUGGGUCAGCGACUUAUAUUCUGUAGCAAGGUUAACCGAAUAGGGGAGCCGAAGGGAAACCGAGUCUUAACCGGGCGUUAAGUUGCAGGGUAUAGACCCGAAACCCGGUGAUCUAGCCAUGGGCAGGUUGAAGGUUGGGUAACACUAACUGGAGGACCGAACCGACUAAUGUUGAAAAAUUAGCGGAUGACUUGUGGCUGGGGGUGAAAGGCCAAUCAAACCGGGAGAUAGCUGGUUCUCCCCGAAAGCUAUUUAGGUAGCGCCUCGUGAAUUCAUCUCCGGGGGUAGAGCACUGUUUCGGCAAGGGGGUCAUCCCGACUUACCAACCCGAUGCAAACUGCGAAUACCGGAGAAUGUUAUCACGGGAGACACACGGCGGGUGCUAACGUCCGUCGUGAAGAGGGAAACAACCCAGACCGCCAGCUAAGGUCCCAAAGUCAUGGUUAAGUGGGAAACGAUGUGGGAAGGCCCAGACAGCCAGGAUGUUGGCUUAGAAGCAGCCAUCAUUUAAAGAAAGCGUAAUAGCUCACUGGUCGAGUCGGCCUGCGCGGAAGAUGUAACGGGGCUAAACCAUGCACCGAAGCUGCGGCAGCGACACUGUGUGUUGUUGGGUAGGGGAGCGUUCUGUAAGCCUGUGAAGGUGUGCUGUGAGGCAUGCUGGAGGUAUCAGAAGUGCGAAUGCUGACAUAAGUAACGAUAAAGCGGGUGAAAAGCCCGCUCGCCGGAAGACCAAGGGUUCCUGUCCAACGUUAAUCGGGGCAGGGUGAGUCGACCCCUAAGGCGAGGCCGAAAGGCGUAGUCGAUGGGAAACAGGUUAAUAUUCCUGUACUUGGUGUUACUGCGAAGGGGGGACGGAGAAGGCUAUGUUGGCCGGGCGACGGUUGUCCCGGUUUAAGCGUGUAGGCUGGUUUUCCAGGCAAAUCCGGAAAAUCAAGGCUGAGGCGUGAUGACGAGGCACUACGGUGCUGAAGCAACAAAUGCCCUGCUUCCAGGAAAAGCCUCUAAGCAUCAGGUAACAUCAAAUCGUACCCCAAACCGACACAGGUGGUCAGGUAGAGAAUACCAAGGCGCUUGAGAGAACUCGGGUGAAGGAACUAGGCAAAAUGGUGCCGUAACUUCGGGAGAAGGCACGCUGAUAUGUAGGUGAAGUCCCUCGCGGAUGGAGCUGAAAUCAGUCGAAGAUACCAGCUGGCUGCAACUGUUUAUUAAAAACACAGCACUGUGCAAACACGAAAGUGGACGUAUACGGUGUGACGCCUGCCCGGUGCCGGAAGGUUAAUUGAUGGGGUCAGCGCAAGCGAAGCUCUUGAUCGAAGCCCCGGUAAACGGCGGCCGUAACUAUAACGGUCCUAAGGUAGCGAAAUUCCUUGUCGGGUAAGUUCCGACCUGCACGAAUGGCGUAAUGAUGGCCAGGCUGUCUCCACCCGAGACUCAGUGAAAUUGAACUCGCUGUGAAGAUGCAGUGUACCCGCGGCAAGACGGAAAGACCCCGUGAACCUUUACUAUAGCUUGACACUGAACAUUGAGCCUUGAUGUGUAGGAUAGGUGGGAGGCUUUGAAGUGUGGACGCCAGUCUGCAUGGAGCCGACCUUGAAAUACCACCCUUUAAUGUUUGAUGUUCUAACGUGGACCCGUGAUCCGGGUUGCGGACAGUGUCUGGUGGGUAGUUUGACUGGGGCGGUCUCCUCCUAAAGAGUAACGGAGGAGCACGAAGGUUGGCUAAUCCUGGUCGGACAUCAGGAGGUUAGUGCAAUGGCAUAAGCCAGCUUGACUGCGAGCGUGACGGCGCGAGCAGGUGCGAAAGCAGGUCAUAGUGAUCCGGUGGUUCUGAAUGGAAGGGCCAUCGCUCAACGGAUAAAAGGUACUCCGGGGAUAACAGGCUGAUACCGCCCAAGAGUUCAUAUCGACGGCGGUGUUUGGCACCUCGAUGUCGGCUCAUCACAUCCUGGGGCUGAAGUAGGUCCCAAGGGUAUGGCUGUUCGCCAUUUAAAGUGGUACGCGAGCUGGGUUUAGAACGUCGUGAGACAGUUCGGUCCCUAUCUGCCGUGGGCGCUGGAGAACUGAGGGGGGCUGCUCCUAGUACGAGAGGACCGGAGUGGACGCAUCACUGGUGUUCGGGUUGUCAUGCCAAUGGCACUGCCCGGUAGCUAAAUGCGGAAGAGAUAAGUGCUGAAAGCAUCUAAGCACGAAACUUGCCCCGAGAUGAGUUCUCCCUGACCCUUUAAGGGUCCUGAAGGAACGUUGAAGACGACGACGUUGAUAGGCCGGGUGUGUAAGCGCAGCGAUGCGUUGAGCUAACCGGUACUAAUGAACCGUGAGGCUUAACCU